AUCCAGCCAUACCGCGUGGGUGAAGAAGGCCUUCGGGUUGUAAAGCCCUUUUGUUGGGAAAGAAAUCCAGCCGGCUAAUACCUGGUUGGGAUGACGGUACCCAAAGAAUAAGCACCGGCUAACUUCGUGCCAGCAGCCGCGGUAAUACGAAGGGUGCAAGCGUUACUCGGAAUUACUGGGCGUAAAGCGUGCGUAGGUGGUUGUUUAAGUCUGUUGUGAAAGCCCUGGGCUCAACCUGGGAACUGCAGUGGAAACUGGACAACUAGAGUGUGGUAGAGGGUAGCGGAAUUCCCGGUGUAGCAGUGAAAUGCGUAGAGAUCGGGAGGAACAUCCAUGGCGAAGGCAGCUACCUGGACCAACACUGACACUGAGGCACGAAAGCGUGGGGAGCAAACAGGAUUAGAUACCCUG
rnacentral:rRNA from 2 species